AAAAAAAAAGAACAGAAAAGAAAAUUUUAUUGUUUGGAUAUUUAAGUCAUUGCCUACCUUGUGAGUGGCGAGCCGGGGCUCCGCCACAUCUGCCCACAGCGGCCUGAACCAGUCGAGUUGUUCACAUCACUCGUGACACACUACUCGAGACUGGAAACCACAGCCUGCCAUGAACAGCUGCCCUGGUCCUGUGGUGUUGGUGGUGUUAUUUACUCGCACCAAGCGGUGGAUGAGCAGUACACAUACUUCUCUCAAGCACUUGAAUAUAAUGUUAGAAUUUAAAAGAAAUUAAUUGGAACGAUGACUCGAAUCAAUGAAAGGAGUCGUCCGAUUCGAAAGUGACUCGAAUCUUCCAUCACUGGUAACCGUGGGCCUCAGUUACCUUUGAAUAUUGUGACGAGACGGGCGCUGCGUUUAACCUCGAGUUCUUUUCCUGUUUCUUCACAUUUAUUUUCAGACGGUGGGGCGAGGUGGCGGUAGGUAAGUCGCGGCUCACAUGGAGACUCUCAAAUACACUACCACCACCACCACCACCACGAGAGUGACCUUACUGGGGAAACAGCGCGCCUGACGAGGGAAGCUCACGUAAUUGCCCUGAUUGACUGGGGCUGCUGCUCCUGCCUUAUUUGGGUGCAUGGUGAAGGUGGGCGCAGUGAGGCAGUGUGGGUGAGUCUGAGAAUGGGUGGUGGGUGAGUCUUGAGACCUGUGUAAU